UACGGGGGGGGGCAAGCGUUGUUCGGAAUUACUGGGCGUAAAGGGCUCGUAGGCGGCCAACUAAGUCGGAUGUGAAAUCCCCCAGGCUCAACUUGGGAACUGCAUCCGAUACUGGAUGGCUUGAAUUCGGGAGAGGGAUGCAGAAUUCCAGGUGUAGCGGUGAAAUGCGUAGAUAUCUGGAGGAAUACCGGUGGCGAAGGCGGCAUCCUGGACCGACUAGUUGACGCUGAGGAGCGAAAGCUAGGGGAGCAAACGGG
rnacentral:rRNA from 1 species